UACAGAGGGGGCAAGCGUUAUUCGGAAUUAUUGGGCGUAAAGGGCGCGUAGGCGGCUUGGCAAGUGGAUGGUGAAAUCCCUCGGCUUAACCGAGGAACUGCCAUCCAGACUGCUUUGCUUGAGGCCGGGAGAGGUGAGUGGAAUUCCCAGUGUAGCGGUGAAAUGCGUAGAUAUUGGGAGGAACACCAGUGGCGAAGGCGGGUCUCUGGACAGUUCCUGACACUGAGGCACGAAGGCCAGGGGAGCAAACGGG
rnacentral:rRNA from 1 species